rnacentral:rRNA from 1 species
AACACAUGCAAGUCGAGCGCCCCGCAAGGGGAGCGGCAGACGGGUGAGUAACGCGUGGGAAUCUACCCAUCUCUACGGAAUAACUCAGGGAAACUUGUGCUAAUACCGUAUACGCCCUUCGGGGGAAAGAUUUAUCGGAGAUGGAUGAGCCCGCGUUGGAUUAGCUAGUUGGUGGGGUAAAGGCCUACCAAGGCGACGAUCCAUAGCUGGUCUGAGAGGAUGAUCAGCCACAUUGGGACUGAGACACGGCCCAAACUCCUACGGGAGGCAGCAGUGGGGAAUAUUGGACAAUGGGCGCAAGCCUGAUCCAGCCAUGCCGCGUGAGUGAUGAAGGCCUUAGGGUUGUAAAGCUCUUUCACCGGAGAAGAUAAUGACGGUAUCCGGAGAAGAAGCCCCGGCUAACUUCGUGCCAGCAGCCGCGGUAAUACGAAGGGGGCUAGCGUUGUUCGGAAUUACUGGGCGUAAAGCGCACGUAGGCGGAUCGAUCAGUCAGGGGUGAAAUCCCAGAGCUCAACUCUGGAACUGCCUUUGAUACUGUCGAUCUAGAGUAUGGAAGAGGUGAGUGGAAUUCCGAGUGUAGAGG